rnacentral:lncRNA from 1 species
UUCCUAACCUUACAGAAACUGCAGACCUGCGGGUGUUCCCGGCCUGCCUCCGUGCUCCGGGACUUCACCACCCUCCCUGUCCACCUAAGCACAUUUUCCUCUGGCACUUUUGCAGGCGUCCCCGAGGCUUCCUUCUGCUCCGUUUCUUCUGAACGUGCACUGCUGUUUCUGCUGUUGGCACAGGUGUGGGGAGUCUGGGCCAGGAAGGGGGGCGCUCACUGCCGAGCAGGUGGAGGCCAACGGGGCCCCUGCCUUCCCUUCCUUCCACCUGCCCCGUGUCCCUCUCUUCCCGCCAGCUCCAGCCCGAUCCCAUCACUCUCUGUCUUCUGCAUUGGUUGGCUGGGAGCUGGAAUACUCCGAGGGUUACUGGCCUUUAAAACACCAAGGACAACACCCUCUAACGACAAGCUCACAGCAGACCUGAACCCACACCUCCUGUCUGCCCGGCACCACCACCACGGGCCCAGGAUGGGCAGCUGCGGCUCCCAAAGGGUUUGUUCCGACAUGACUGAGAAGUCAGGGAGUGAUCUCAGCCGUGGUAGGCCCUGCCAGUUCACCUGUGCGUGGCUCCAGCCUCAGGAGACACGAGGCGAAGCCAAGUGGGACAGGCCGGGCGGGCCCGCAACCCUGGGCAUCCGGGGCCUGCCUCCCCUGCCCCUGCGGGCAUCACAGGUGCCCCCGCCUGCCAGGCCCCCUCCCUCUGUGGCCCCAGGUGCCCGCUCUCUGACAGCCCCUCCACGUGCUCUGCAGGUCCCCUUCUGGGCAAAGCACCCGUCACAGGACUCUGCUUCUGACCUUCACUGGGUGUGCGGCUGUGACCUACUUUCAUGAGGUCCCUUGUUUUUUUUGAUGUGUCACCGACAAGGUUUUUGAAUGUCAUGUCUCCGCUCCCACCAGCUCGGGGAGUUUUGCUGCGUGGUUUUGCAGGCCGUGGUACGUUCUGGGACGAACACCUUUCUCCACAUCAGACUCUUUGGGCAGAGCUUCCAGACCCAUCUCCCUCCCGCGAGGCCCGGAGUAGAGACGGCAGUAAAGAAGGCGGACAGAAAGCAGGUCACUGUGUCUGCAGACCCGCCCUGGGAGAGCCUGGCACCUCCUCAGGACCCAGAUGACCCCGAGGCAGCAGGACGGCUCGGUGAUUUACGCGCUGCUUCUUUUCAGAGGACAGUCGUGGUGCCAGACAUCUAGGCCGUGCGGCGAGCAGGCCGCGGCUGGUGGGGCUGACAUGGAACUAACAGUGUGUGCCGGCCAGCCUCCUGACACGUGACAGGUCCUGCCUCAGCAGGAUGGUCUGGGGCCAGGUCUGCCCGGGAGCAGGGGCCGUGCAGCUCACGUGCGGAAUCUGUAAAACCCGAGCCCCAGGGGCUACCGCAGGUCCCGGCACAGCCCCGUCCUGAGCAAGCCCCAGGAGGUCUCCGAGCUGCAGACGGAUGGUGCCUGCGGGUCAUCACUGGGAGGUGGCCUGCAGUGGAGGACAGUGGCCAGAGCACCCAUAGAAGAGCAGCGAGGAGGCCCCUGGAGGGCUGCAGAGAGCGGGUCCCGGGCGUCGGCUGCAAGAAGGGAAGGCAGCUCAGCUUGCCCCCUGCACUCAGCUCUCUCCUUUCUCACUCAAGCCCAAUCCCGUUAAUUCCCCCCUCUCUCUCCAUCUCUCUGUGUCUGUCUCUGUCUCUCUCUCCCCCACCUCCCCUCUCUCUCACACACACAUUGCUCUGGCUAUAUUUCUAAGAUCCUGUAUAAUAUUCUCAAGGAUAUUACACUUGUCACUCC